CACCUCUAUUGACUACUUUUCUUGAGUCAUUAUCAUAUGAAGUUGUGUCACUUUUAACUUAAAAUGCUUGUUCCUCAAUCUUUUCAAAUGAUCUUCUCAAUCUUGCCUCAUGUGCUCGUAAAGAAGCAAUUAGUUCAUCAAAUGAAAAACUAGAAAGAUCCUUUGAUUCUUCAAUGGCAGCAACUACAUGAUCAACUUUAGGAGUUAAGCUCCUUAAAACUUUUUCAAUAAUAGUUUGAUAAUUAAGUUUCUCUCCAUAGGAUCUCAUUUUACUCAUAAUUACUAUUACUCUUAAUAGAAAUUCUUGCACAGUCUCAUUACUUUCCAUAAAGAAAAUUUCAAAAUUACGGUGUAAAGAU
rnacentral:lncRNA from 1 species